rnacentral:rRNA from 1 species
UACAGAGGUCUCAAGCGUUGUUCGGAUUCAUUGGGCGUAAAGGGUGCGUAGGCGGCGCGGUCAGUCUUUGGUGAAAGCGCGGGGCUCAACCCUGCGUCGGCCAGGGAUACUGCCGCGGCUCGAGCACUGUAGAGGCAGGCGGAAUUCCGGGUGUAGCGGUGGAAUGCGUAGAGAUCCGGAAGAACACCGGUGGCGAAGGCGGCCUGCUGGGCAGUUUGGCUGACACUGAGGCGCGACAGCGUGGGGAGCAAACAGG